rnacentral:rRNA from 1 species
UACGUAGGGUGCGAGCGUUGUCCGGAAUUAUUGGGCGUAAAGAGCUCGUAGGCGGUCUGUCGCGUCGAUCGUGAAAACUUGGGGCUUAACCCUGAGCUUGCGGUCGAUACGGGCAUGACUGGAGUUCGGCAGGGGAGACUGGAAUUCCUGGUGUAGCGGUGAAAUGCGCAGAUAUCAGGAGGAACACCGGUGGCGAAGGCGGCAUCCUGGACCGGUAUUGACGCUGAGGCGCGAAAGCCAGGGGAGCAAACGGG